CGCUUGGGGUAUUUUUCUUAGGUCGCGCCUGCCCAAUGAGUAUUUAAAUGGCCGCAGUAUACUGACUGUGCUAAGGUAGCAUAAUAAUUUGUCUUUUAAUUGAAGGCUAGUAUGAAAGGAAUGACGAGGAGAAAUCUCUGUCUCUCUUUUAAAAAAAAUUAAAUUGACAUAAAAGUUAAAAGGCUUUUAGAAAUUAGAAGGACGACAAGACCCUAUAAAGCUUUACCUUACAAAUAAAAUGAAUGUUUAGGUUAAGUCUUAUUUUUAGUCGGUUUUACUGGGGCGGUAAAAUUUUAAGUUUAACAAAGUUAAUAAAAACACUGUAAAUGAAAUUUAUAAUCCUUUAUAAAGAAUUAAGAACAAGUUACUUUAGGGAUAACAGUGUAAUAUUUUUAAAGAGCCCUAAUCGCCAAAAAUGAUUACUACCUCGAUGUUGAAUUGAAAUUCCUCCGCAGGCGCAGCUUUUGCGAAAGAAAGUCUGUUCGACUUUUAAAUUUUC
rnacentral:rRNA from 1 species